GCAGAAGAAGCACCGGCUAACUCCGUGCCAGCAGCCGCGGUAAUACGGAGGGUGCGAGCGUUAAUCGGAAUUACUGGGCGUAAAGCGCAUGCAGGUGGUUUGUUAAGUCAGAUGUGAAAGCCCGGGGCUCAACCUCGGAAUUGCAUUUGAAACUGGCAGACUAGAGUACUGUAGAGGGGGUAGAAUUUCAGGUGUAGCGGUGAAAAUGCGUAGAGAUCUGAAGGAAUACCGGUGGCGAAGGCGGCCCCCCUGGACAGAUACUGACACUCAGAUGCGAAAAGCGUGGGGAGCAAACAGGAUUAGAUACCCCUGGUAG
rnacentral:rRNA from 1 species